CAAAUCUGGGGCGGGGGGGUCCAGGACGGGCAAUAAUGCGAGUCGAGCGAAUGGAUUAAGAGCUUGCUCUUAUGAAGUUAGCGGCGGACGGGGAGUAACACGUGGGUAACCUGCCCAUAAGACUGGGAUAACUCCGGGAAACCGGGGCUAAUACCGGAUAACAUUUUGAACCGCAUGGUUCGAAAUUGAAAGGCGGCUUCGGCUGUCACUUAUGGAUGGACCCGCGUCGCAUUAGCUAGUUGGUGAGGUAACGGCUCACCAAGGCAACGAUGCGUAGCCAACCUGAGAGGGUGAUCGGCCACACUGGGACUGAGACACGGCCCAGACUCCUACGGGAGGCAGCAGUAGGGAAUCUUCCGCAAUGGACGAAAGUCUGACGGAGCAACGCCGCGUGAGUGAUGAAGGUUUUCGGGUCGUAAAAACUCUGUUGUUAGGGAAGAACAAGUGCUAGUUGAAUAAGCUGGCACCUUGACGGUACCUAACCAGAAAGCCACGGCUAACUACGUGCCAGCAGCCGCGGUAAUACGUAGGGGGGCAAGCGUUAUCCCGAAAUUAUUGGGGCGAAAAGCGGCGCGCAGGUGGUUUCUUAAGUCUGAUGUGAAAGCCCCACGGCUCAACCGUGGAGGGUCAUUGGAAACUGGGAGACUUGAGUGCAGAAGAAGGAAAGUGGAAUUCCAUGUGUAGCGGUGAAAUGCGUAGAGAUAUGGGAGGAACACCAGUGGCGGAAGGCGAUUUUCUGGUCUGUAACUGACACUGAGGCGCGAAAGCGUGGGGAGCAAACAGGAUUAGAUACCCUUGGUAGUCCACGCCGUAAACGAUGGAGUGCUAAGUGUUAAGAGGGUUUUCCGCCCCUUUUAGUGCUGGAAGUUAACGCAUUAAGCACCUCCGCCUGGGGGAGUACGGCCGCGAGUCUAAACUCAAAGGAAUUGACGGGGGCCCGCACAGGCGGUGGACAUGUGGUUUAUUCGAGCAGCGCGAAGACCCUACGAGGUCUUGACAUCUCUGAAAACCCUAGAGAUGGGUCUUCUCCUCGGCGACCGAGUGACAGGUUGCAUCAUGUUGUUCGAUCAGCUCGUGGUCGAGUAGAGAUUGUUUGUGCAAUUAUCUACUCGGUC
rnacentral:rRNA from 1 species